rnacentral:lncRNA from 1 species
UAUGUACUACUUGGACUGUGAACUACAGUUGUGAUACUUCUCUUCUGUCGAGAUUUUGGAUUGUAUUUUCCUUUGUUCUUUUACUGAUAGUAUAUUGACUUGUACAUUGCUCUGAUAUCAGGAUAGGACUUUCUUUGUUUUGCUUCCUAUCGACUUGCUUUCUUCGUAGACGCCUUAUAUACUGCAGGUGUAUGGCGGGUCUGUACACGUGCCGGAUAUGCUUCCGCUGGUACCCGGGGGUGACAGCUGCUGCCGUCACCGUCGCCUAAGCCGCCACCGCCACUGCCGUCGUCGCCUAAGCCACCACUGCUGUCGCUGCCUAAGCUGCCACCGCCGUCGCUACGGAAGAGAGAGAGAGAUAGAGAGAGAGAAAUAGAAGAAAUGGGAUAAGAGAGAGAGAGAGAGAAAUAGAAGGAGGGGAUAAGAGAGAGAAAGAGAGAGUAGGGGAGGGAGAAAAAGUGUGGGGGACAACUGGCAAGAGAUAGAGAGAGAGAGUUUAGGGUAGAGAGAGAAAGGGAGAGAGAUGGGUUUCAGAGGGUGUAAGAGAAGAGAGAGAGAGAGAAAGAGAGAAGGGGGUUUACAGCUGUAACAAAUUUUUUUUUGUGAACCCCACUUCAUUAAAAACGUGCCAUGUGGAAUAGACUUACCUCCUCUCGCCACGUGGCUUCAUUGUUCUGUCAAUUUAUAUAUUGUUAGAUAUAUUAAGAAGUACAAAGCAUUAUCAUUUUUUUUUAUUUUAGCAUUAUAAUUUUCAAUUAUUUCAAUUUAACUUUAUUAAAUACAAUUAAUAAAUACUUUAAAAAUUAACAGUUUAAUCAGCUACAAGUCAAUGCAUCGGCAAUAUUAUCAACUAAAAGGUGUUUAAAAUAGUUGGAUUCAAAAUUUUAUUUUCCAAAUUUUAUAAAUCUCCGAUUUAAAUUUUAAAACUUGUACUAAUUAUUUACUAUCACUCAAAAAAUACUAGUGGAAUGACUUUUGCAAAAAGAUUGCAAUAUUAACCGGUUCAUUUUGAUAGAAAUAUGAAAGAUUUAUUGAAUUUAGUAUAUACCAGUUCGGCUUCAUUUGGUUCAGAUAUAAGCAAGAAUUGCCUAUUCCAGUGAAUUCUAAAAAAGUGAUUUUGGUUUGGAGAAGUGAUUUUGGUUAAAAACUGUAGAGCGUUUGGUUGAGUUUAGGUAAAAGUGAUUUUUCUAAAGUGAUUUUGAAAAACUGUUUGGCAAAAUUUUUUUGAUGUAUGCAUAAAUUAAUAUUUUUAUUAAAUUUUAUUUUAAAAUAAUUUAAAAU